rnacentral:rRNA from 1 species
ACACACUUUCCGCCAGAGAACUACAAGUGAAAAACUUGAAACUCAAAGGACUUGACGGUGUCCCAUAUCGGCCUAGAGGAGCCUGUCCUAUAAUCGAUACCCCCCGUUCCACCCAACCUUAACUAGUAAUCAGCCUAUAUACCGCCGUCGACAGCCUACCCUAUGAAGGUAAUAGUAGACAAAAUAGCAUAUCGCUAAUACGUCAGGUCAAGGUGUAGCAAAUGUUAAGAAGAGAUUGGC